rnacentral:rRNA from 1 species
UACGCAGGGGGCUAGCGUUGUUCGGAUUUACUGGGCGUAAAGCGCACGUAGGCGGAUUGUUAAGUCGGGGGUGAAAUCCUGGAGCUCAACUUCAGAAUUGCCUUCGAUACUGGCUUUCUAGAGGCUGGAAGAGGUUAGUGGAAUUCCCAGUGUAGAGGUGAAAUUCGUAGAUAUUGGGAAGAACACCAGUGGCGAAGGCGGCUAACUGGUCCAGAUCUGACGCUGAGGUGCGAAAGCGUGGGGAGCAAACAGG